rnacentral:rRNA from 1 species
AUGGCUCCUUUUACUGAAGAUGUGCACAAAGCUGUGUUAAGUAUUGGAGAUCUAAAAGCGCCAGGGCCGGAUGGGUUACAUGCUAUAUUCUUUAAAAAGUAUUGGCAUAUUCUUGGGAGUGACAUCACUCAUGAAGUCUUACAUGCUAUCAACACACAUCAAAUCCCUGCUGAGUGGAAUGAUACGUCAAUUGUGACGAUCCCAAAGGUGGAUGCACCUGAACUGGUAACUCAAUUUCGGCCUAUUAGUCUUUGUAAUGUACUUUACGAAAUUAUCUCCAAAAUGUUGGCUGCCAGAUUGAAGAGUAUAUUGCCUGAAAUUAUUUCACCUACCCAGAGUGCAUUUGUUCCUGGUAGAUUGAUCACCGAUAAUAUACUUAUUGCCUAUGAGUGUAUCCAUAAAAUAAAGAAUACGAGGAACAGUCUUGCUGGAUUGUGUGCAGUCAAGCUGGACAUGCAUAAGGCUUACGAUAGAGUAGAAUGGAUCUUCUUGAGAAAUAUGAUGAGGAAAUUGGGAUUCCAUGAGAAUUGGAUUGAUUUAAUGAUGGCUUGUGUGAACUCAGUAAGAUACAAAGUAAGAUUUAACUCACAGGAGACGGAUAUAUUUACCCCUACAAGGGGUCUCAGGCAAGGGGACCCCCUCGCGCCGUACCUAUUUCUGAUUUGUGCAAAAGGUCUUUCUAGUUUAUUGCAGUAUGAAGAAGAAGUUGGUGGCAUUGAUGGGAUCAGAGUGUGCAUGAAUGCACCGUCAGUUUCACACCUCUUAUUUGCUGACGAUUCUCUUAUUCUCAUGCGAGCAGAUGUGUUAAAUGCAACUUCCUUAUGGCAAGCACUAGAAACCUACUGUGAGAAUUCGGGACAGAUGAUUACUGUGGGUAAAUCGAGCAUCUUUUUCAGCCCAAAUACUAAUGUGACCACGAAAGCUGAAAUUUGUCAAGAGUUGGAUAUAAAUACGGAAGCCUUAUUUGAUAAAUAUCUCGGCCUACCUGCCAUGGUUGGUGCUGACAGAGACUGUUUCAAACAUCUCUGUGACAGGGUUAUGCAGAGGAUAAAAGGAUGGAUGAAGAAACAAUUAUCCACGGGUGGCAAGGAGAUCUUAUUGAAGGCCAUUGCUCAGUCUAUACCAGUUUUUGCAAUGUCAGUUUUCUGUCUUCCUAAAGGCGUUUGCAAAGAAAUUACAGAUGUAAUAGCUCAAUUCUGGUAGGGUGAUGAAGAAGAUAACAAGAAGAUGCAU